rnacentral:lncRNA from 1 species
GGGGUCCCCCGUGUCCUCUCUCCUCACCGGCUGCUGGGCGCCGCCAUCUUCCUUCCCCGCCCCCGUGGGAGGAGAGCCGCUUCCUGUGCGUCACUUCCGGAGGGCGGGACGCGGCGAGACAGGGCCGUGGCUGCAGGUGUUUUCAGGGGUUGGGCGGGAGCGUGUAGAGUUGGGAGGUCGGAGGCCUGAGGUCCUUUCGAGAAACGCGAGGAACACGGAACGGCCAAGGCUUCCGGGGAGGAGAGGACGGCGGCCCCGCACCUUUGUUUCCAGAGGUUUCCAGGCGUUUUCUGGCCGGAUCCCAGGGCCUCGUGCGAUGGGCCGGGCUGGACACCGCGCGCUUCAAAGUCACGUUUGGGAUGCUUCUUGCUGACUGUAUCCUCAAGAGGAACUGGUUCUUGGAACGAUGCCUCCGCCUUCCAAUCUGACCAGUUGCAGCCUUACCGUGUUAGCUAUCAAGUGGGAAGACCGGUGAACUCAAGGUUGCUUGUCGGACCUGAGCCACACCAGGGAAUGCAAUCACCAGAGCAUCUCAGGAUGUAGAAGGUGUAGUAACCCAGAAACCCAGAGAUAAAGGUCCAGAGGGAAGGAAGCACGAAACUCUCGACGUUUUCAGUACGCCCGAGGGAAGCCGUGUGAAAGGCUCCCAACCGGAGAAUGAAGAUCACUGAGUUCCAGAAACAUUUAAGAAAGUUUGGGGAUUAUUGGACUCAGAAGCUGGUGGCAGACUGCCUUGUACACAUCAGUCCCCUCUGCUUCUUAGCCAUAGUCACACUGCGUGCUCGCCUUGGAAUGAUGUCCAGGAAGCUCACUAUGUUUCCAGGAUUCACUUUCACGUCUUUAAAGCUGAUCUCUUCCCCUUCGAAGUGUGACAGGCCCGGUCUGGAUGAACGGGGCCCGCCUCCGGGACCACAAGUGCCUGCCCAUGGAGCUUCUAAGGAGGAUCCUGUCACCCUAGUGGACCACACCUCUGACCUCCAGAGACACAGCAACACCUACCAAAUAGAGGUGACGUUUCAAACAGAGCCAUGGAACGGCCAUGGAGAACAGGAGCGCCUUUCUGGAUCAGGUAGACCUACCUGGAUCAGUGAGCGUCAGGUGAACACGAGAAACCAAGGCGGGCAGAUGCCUGCCUGA